AGUCGAGCGGACAGAAGGGAGCUUGCUCCCGGAUGUUAGCGGCGGACGGGUGAGUAACACGUGGGUAACCUGCCUGUAAGACUGGGAUAACUCCGGGAAACCGGAGCUAAUACCGGAUAGUUCCUUGAACCGCAUGGUUCAAGGAUGAAAGACGGUUUCGGCUGUCACUUACAGAUGGACCCGCGGCGCAUUAGCUAGUUGGUGAGGUAACGGCUCACCAAGGCGACGAUGCGUAGCCGACCUGAGAGGGUGAUCGGCCACACUGGGACUGAGACACGGCCCAGACUCCUACGGGAGGCAGCAGUAGGGAAUCUUCCGCAAUGGACGAAAGUCUGACGGAGCAACGCCGCGUGAGUGAUGAAGGUUUUCGGAUCGUAAAGCUCUGUUGUUAGGGAAGAACAAGUGCAAGAGUAACUGCUUGCACCUUGACGGUACCUAACCAGAAAGCCACGGCUAACUACGUGCCAGCAGCCGCGGUAAUACGUAGGUGGCAAGCGUUGUCCGGAAUUAUUGGGCGUAAAGGGCUCGCAGGCGGUUUCUUAAGUCUGAUGUGAAAGCCCCCGGCUCAACCGGGGAGGGUCAUUGGAAACUGGGAAACUUGAGUGCAGAAGAGGAGAGUGGAAUUCCACGUGUAGCGGUGAAAUGCGUAGAGAUGUGGAGGAACACCAGUGGCGAAGGCGACUCUCUGGUCUGUAACUGACGCUGAGGAGCGAAAGCGUGGGGAGCGAACAGGAUUAGAUACCCUGGUAGUCCACGCCGUAAACGAUGAGUGCUAAGUGUUAGGGGGUUUCCGCCCCUUAGUGCUGCAGCUAACGCAU
rnacentral:rRNA from 1 species